ACGCCUCCGUCCUCUGUGUUAGUUCCUGGUUUGGGCUUUUGCUCCUUUUGCUUUUUCCCUUAUCUUUCUUUUCUUUUUCUUUGCUUUCUUUUUCCUUUUUCCUUUUUUCCUUGAGAAGAAAAAGAAAAAAACAACAGAAUGUGGGGAAGGGAGUGAGAGGCAAAGGACGAAAAGAGCCCAGUUAUGUAUCCGCACAGGUACAGAGAGUAUCGAAUACUCUGUCUGGUAACUGAAUAAUACAACAAUGCCAUAGUUACUCCGCAGUUACGGUAGCCUUAGCUUAAAAUAUCACAGAGAGAUGAACGGAAAAUAGUAAGAAGGGCAAUAAUGACAGAGGUGGAGCAGCUUCUCACCUUAUCUGGGGGUUUUUCUUUUCUUUUCGCCAUCUACAGAGUAUAGUACGCUGUGCAUCACUAAAGCCACCCCCCACCCCUUUUAAGUCUCCAUUUAGACGGAGCCGUGGUGACAGCGGGCGGGGAGUUAAUGUAGGGGAACGUGCAGCAG
rnacentral:sRNA from 1 species